GACGAACGCUGGCGGCGUGCUUAACACAUGCAAGUCGAACGAUGACGACCGAGCUUGCUCGGUCUGAUUAGUGGCGAACGGGUGAGUAACACGUGAGCAACCUGCCCUUCACUCUGGGAUAACCUCGGGAAAUCGGGGCUAAUACCGGAUAUGAGCUCCUGUCGCAUGGCGGGUGUUGGAAAGUUUUUCGGUGAAGGAUGGGCUCGCGGCCUAUCAGUUUGUUGGUGAGGUAGUGGCUCACCAAGGCGAUGACGGGUAGCCGGCCUGAGAGGGCGACCGGCCACACUGGGACUGAGACACGGCCCAGACUCCUACGGGAGGCAGCAGUGGGGAAUAUUGCACAAUGGGCGAAAGCCUGAUGCAGCGACGCCGCGUGAGGGAUGACGGCCUUCGGGUUGUAAACCUCUUUCAGCAGGGAAGAAGCGAAAGUGACGGUACCUGCAGAACAAGCGCCGGCUAACUACGUG
rnacentral:rRNA from 1 species